rnacentral:rRNA from 1 species
UACGAAGGGGGCUAGCGUUGCUCGGAAUCACUGGGCGUAAAGCGCACGUAGGCGGAUCUUUAAGUCAGGGGUGAAAUCCUGGAGCUCAACUCCAGAACUGCCUUUGAUACUGGGGAUCUCGAGUCCGGAAGAGGUGAGUGGAACUCCGAGUGUAGAGGUGAAAUUCGUAGAUAUUAGGAAGAACACCGGUGGCGAAGGCGGCCCACUGGAUCGGUACUGACGCUGAGGUGCGAAAGCGUGGGGAGCAAACAGG